rnacentral:rRNA from 1 species
CAGCCCCCCGAGUGGUAGGGAUGUUUAUUUGGCCUAAAACGUCCGUAGCCGGCUAAGUAAAUUUCUCGUUAAAUCCAACGUCCUAAGCGUUGGGCUGCGAGGAAGACUGCUAAGCUAGAGGGUGGGAGAGGUCAGCGGUAUUCCUGGGGUAGGGGCGAAAUCCUUUGAACCCAGGAGGACCACCAGUGGCGAAGGCUGCUGACUAGAACACGCCUGACGGUGAGGGACGAAAGCUGGGGUAGCGAAUCGGAUUAGAUACCCGAGUAGUCC